rnacentral:lncRNA from 1 species
GUUGACUUGAAAGUAUCUUAGCACAAGAUAUCAUUUUAUAGGCCAAAUAAAGAGAGAUAGCCAAAGCAAAGUACUAUAGAUUGACUGAAUAAAGGCCAAAUGUAACAGAUUUGAUGUUGUUCAAGCAUGAGUAUAUGAAAUCCUUCCUUUGGUUUAGCAGACGAUAUGGGAUCUAGCCAUUAUGACAAUACGAGUUAUAAAAAAUAGUUAGUGCUAG